rnacentral:rRNA from 1 species
GACGAACGCUGGCGGCGUGCUUAACACAUGCAAGUCGAACGGAAAGGCCCUGCUUUUGUGGGGUGCUCGAGUGGCGAACGGGUGAGUAACACGUGAGUAACCUGCCCUUGACUUUGGGAUAACUUCAGGAAACUGGGGCUUACCGGAUAGGAGCUCCUGCUGCAUGGUGGGGGUUGGAAAGUUUCGGCGGUUGGGGAUGGACUCGCGGCUUAUCAGCUUGUUGGUGGGGUAGUGGCUUACCAAGGCUUUGACGGGUAGCCGGCCUGAGAGGGUGACCGGCCACAUUGGGACUGAGAUACGGCCCAGACUCCUACGGGAGGCAGCAGUGGGGAAUAUUGCACAAUGGGCGGAAGCCUGAUGCAGCAACGCCGCGUGCGGGAUGACGGCCUUCGGGUUGUAAACCGCUUUCGCCUGUGACGAAGCGUGAGUGACGGUAAUGGGUAAAGAAGCACCGGCUAACUACGUG